AUGGAGAUGAAACCCAAAAGAUUUUCGUUGGGGCGUAACCCUCUCAGCGACGCGCCACAUCGGAACCCGGGUGUGGUGGAAAAUGGGCAAGGGCCGGGCCGUCACCCCCCAAGUGGCGCGCCGUAUCUUGAUCCGGAUACGCUGGCAAGUGAGCGAGGAUCGGGUCGUCGCAUUCUUAGUGGCGCGCUACAUCGGCGCCCGGAUGUAGUGGAAAAUGAGCAAGGGUCUUCGCAUUUGACUCGACGAGUGCGAAGGGUAAGGAAGCUAGCCGAGCCUAGGAGGAUUCGCUUAGGUAGCUGGAACAUAGGGUCUCUGACAGGGAAGCUUCGGGAGCUAGUUGAUGCAGCAGUGAGGAGAGGUGUUGAUAUCCUUUGCGUCCAAGAAACCAAAUGGAGAGGACAGAAGGCGAAGGAGGUGGAGGAUACCGGCUUCAAGCUGUGGUACACGGGGACGGCUGCAAACAGAAAUGGCGUAGGCAUCUUGAUCAACAAGAGCCUCAAGUAUGAAGUAGUAGACGUCAGGAGACGUGGGGACCGGAUUAUCCUGGUCAAGCUGGUAGCUGAGGACUUGGUUCUCAAUGUUAUCAGCGCAUAUGCCCCGCAAGUAGGCCACAAUGAGAACACCAAGAGGGAGUUCUGGGAAGGCUUGGAAGACAUGGUUAGGAGUGUACCGAUUGGUGAGAAGCUCUUCAUAGGAGGAGACCUCAAUGGCCACGUGGGUACAUCUAACACAGGUUUUGAAGGGGCGCAUGGGGGCUUUGGCUAUGGCAUCAGGAAUCAAGAAGGAGAAGAUGUCUUAAGCUUUGCUCUAGCCUACAACAUGAUUGUAGCUAACACCCUCUUUAGAAAGAGAGAAUCACAUCUGGUGACUUUUAGUAGUGGCCAACACUCUAGCCAGAUUGAUUUCAUCCUCUCGAGAAGAGAAGAUAGGCGUGCGUGCCUAGACUGUAAGGUGAUACCUGGGGAGAGUGUUGUACCCCAGCAUAAGCUGGUGGUUGCUGACUUCCGCUUUCGGAUUCGUGUCCAGCGGGAUAAGUGUGCCAAGGUCGCUAGAACGAAGUGGUGGAAGCUCAAGGGGGAGGUAGCUCAGGUGUUCAAGGAGAGGGUAUUUAAGGAGGGCCCUUGGGAGGAAGGAGGGGAUGCGGACAAUGUGUGGAUGAAGAUGGCGACUUGCAUUCGUAAGGUGGCCUCAGAGGAGUUUGGAGUGUCCAGGGGAAGGAGAAGCGAAGAUAAGGAUACCUGGUGGUGGAAUGAUGAUGUCCAGAAGGCGCUUAAAGAGAAGAAAGAUUGCUUCAGACGCCUAUACCUGGAUAGGAGUGCAGACAACAUAGAGAAGUACAAGAUGGCGAAGAAGGCCGCAAAGCGAGCUGUUGGUGAAGCAAGGGGUCGGGCAUAUGAGGACCUCUACCAACGGUUAUGCACGAAGGAAGGUGAAAGGGACAUCUAUAAGAUGGCUAAGAUCCAGGAGAGGAAGACGAGGGAUAUUGGCCAAGUCAAAUGCAUCAAGGACGGAGCAGGCCAUCUCUUGGUGAAGGACGAAGAGAUUAAGCAUAGAUGGCGGGAGUACUUCGACAAGCUGUUCAAUGGGGAGAAUGAGAGUUCUACCAUUGAACUGAAUGACUCCUUUGAUGAGACCAGCAUGCGUUUUGUGCGGCGCAUCCAGGAGUCUGAGGUGAAGGAGGCUUUAAAAAGGAUGAAAGGAGACAAGGCGAUGGGCCCUGAUUGUAUCCCCAUUGAGGUGUGGAAAGGUCUCGGGGACAUAGCGAUAGUAUGGCUAACCAAGCUUUUCAACCUCAUUUUUCAGGCAAACAAGAUGCCAGAAGAAUGGAGAUGGAGUAUAUUAGUACCAAUCUUCAAGAACAAGGGGGAUGUUCAGAGUUGUACUAAUUACCGUGGAAUUAAGCUGAUGAGCCAUACAAUGAAGCUAUGGGAGAGAGUCAUUGAGCACCGCUUAAGAAGAAUGACAAGCGUGACCAAAAAUCAGUUUGGUUUCAUGCCUGGGAGGUCGACCAUGGAAGCCAUUUUCUUGGUACGACAACUUAUGGAGAGAUAUAGGGAGCAUAAGAAGGACUUGCAUAUGGUGUUCAUUGACUUGGAGAAGGCCUAUGAUAAGAUACCGUGGAAUGUCAUGUGGUGGGCCUUGGAGAAACACAAAGUCCCAGCAAAGUACAUUACCCUCAUCAAGGACAUGUACAAUAAUGUUGUGACAAGUGUUCGAACAAGUGAUGUCGACACCGAUGACUUCCCGAUUAAGAUAGGACUGCAUCAGGGGUCAGCUUUGAGCCCUUAUCUUUUUGCAUUGGUGAUGGAUGAGGUCACAAGGGGUAUACAAGGAGAUAUCCCAUGGUGUAUGCUCUUUGCGGAUGAUGUGGUGCUAGUUGACGAUAGUCGGACGGGGGUAAAUAGGAAGUUAGAGUUAUGGAGACAAACCUUGGAAUCGAAAGGGUUUAGGCUUAGUAGAACUAAAACCGAGUACAUGAUGUGCGGUUUCAGUACUACUAGCUGUGAGGAGGAGGAGGUUAGCCUUGAUGGCCAGGUGGUACCUCGGAAGGACACCUUUCGGUAUUUGGGGUCAAUGUUGCAGGAGGAUGGGGGUAUUGAUGAAGAUGUGAACCAUCGAAUCAAAGUCGGAUGGAUGAAGUGGCGCCAAGCUUCUGGUAUUCUCUAUGACAAGAGAGUGCCACAAAAACUAAAAGGCAAGUUCUACAGGACGGCGGUUCGACCCGCAAUGUUGUAUGGCGCGGAGUGUUGA
rnacentral:rRNA from 1 species